GUCCUAGCCGUAAACGGUGGGCACUAGGUGUAGGAGGCAUCGACCCCUCCUGUGCCGUAGCUAACGCAUUAAGUGCCCCGCCUGGGGAGUACGACCGCAAGGUUGAAACUCAAAGGAAUUGACGGGGGCCCGCACAAGCGGUGGAGCAUGUGGUUUAAUUCGAUGCAACGCGAAGAACCUUACCCAGGUUUGACAUGCACCGGACAGGUGUGGAAACACACCCUCCCUUCGGGGUCGGUGCACAGGUGCUGCAUGGCUGUCGU
rnacentral:rRNA from 1 species